rnacentral:lncRNA from 1 species
GAUUUCAAGGGCCGACAGGAAGCCUCGAUCGGGGAACUCUGACCUUGCGGAGGAAACUUGUUUCCCUUUUUUUCUUCCCGCCGACUUUCACUCGAUAAAACCCUGCUUUAUUCACCCUUUAAACCUUCUCCAAACCUAAAUUUUCCUGGCCUUGGGACGGACAAGAACCCAGUCUUCAGAUGAAGGAAGGAAAAGUCCUGCAACAUUCUUGGCGUGCAACGUUGGGGCUCUUGAAGAGUAGUCAAAUUCAUUGAGAUGAAAAGAAGAAUGAUGGUUGCCAGGGUCUCGGGAGAGGGAGAAAUGAUGAAUGCAGAAUUUCAAUUUUGGAAGAUGAAAAAUUUCUGAAGACAGAUGGCGGUGACGAAUGCACAAUGUAAAUAUACUUACACUUAAAAUGGUACAUUUAAAAAUGGUUAAAAUGGUAAAGUUUAUAGUAUAUCUAUUUUAUCACCAAAAAAAGAAAGCAGAAAAAAAUGUAUUUUAAAAAGCCAAUGUUUUGAAUUGUAAGACCUGGGCAAUUGAGCCACAGUGUAUAAAACCUCCAUCAUAAAAAGACAGAUUGAGAGAAAUGCAUGCUCAUGUAAGAGCUAAUUUUCUCAGUUCAAAGGAAAACACCAAUCCUUGGGGUGAAGAAGAGAGGAAAGAGAGGAGAAGGUAAAAAGCUAGCAUUGGUUGUUAAAUAAGAAGGUGAGUAGCAGAAUGACAGGAUAGCCAUGUGAUUUUUGGAGAAAAUAGGCAAAAGGAAACUUGUUCCAGCUGUAUCCUCCAUCUUCACUCUACCCUAACACCAGGAAGGACUGGUGAAACAGCAAAUACCCAGAGUUUCCUUGUGUUCACCAUAGUUCAAAAGAAAAACAUAUGUCUGCAUGAGAGGUAGGGGAGAUCUAAGCAAAUGAGUCUGAGUCAAUCUCACAGAAUCCCAGAAUGCUCCUGUGACAGGGAGUUCAGUAAAAUGAAUUCUCAUGCACCUCAGAGUAGCAUUGACACUAUUAUUGCCUUAGAGAUCCCUUUCAGUGUUCCAGAUAUUUAGAGUGUCAUGGGAGGAAUGACUGAAUAUAUUUCAAAACACUUAAUGAUGUGUAGAAAUGGCUGAAAGUGAGGUGAUCCGCCGAGACCCUGUGGUUUAGAACUGUGGUGUCCAAUGCUAGCCACAUGAUGCUAGUGGCUUCCCAUUUGAACAGUACUGAUACAAGACAUUUCCAAAACUGCAGAAAGUUCUAUUGUACAGUGCUGGUUUAGAACAAAGGGCAACAAUAGCAACUUAUGUGGCUGGACAACCAAGAAUAAUGUGGGAUAGACUCUGAGUGCAUCCCAGCUCUUGCCAGUACAAACAGAAAAGGACAAAGAACAGGAUGUCUCCUGCCCCUUGACAUUUUUAAAGCACCCAAGAUUUAGGUAUAGUAACUCUUCAUUGAAUGUUGUCAAUGAGUUGUUGGAAAUUGCAACUUUAAGCAGAACAACAGGCAGCAAACUAAUUUUACUACAGGCUAAUUUAUAUAAACAAGUUAUGUUUCUAUGGCAUAUUUCUGAUUACAAAAACAUCACCAAACUUCUACAUAAAGACCAAAACAUUUCUGAUAUUCAACAUUAAAAUAAAUGUGAGCUAUAUACACAUUUAAGAAAGAUUAAUGAAAGCAAGAUAAUUAUUUACCCAGUUAUUCCAGCUCAGGGUCACAGGUGGCCAGAGACUCUCCCCAUAGCUCAGGGUGCAAGGCAGAAGCCCACCUUGCAUAGGACACCAUUCCAUCACAGAAUGCAGGUUCACACACAGUCACACUCACUCACACUGAGACAAGGUAGGCAUGCCAGUUAACCUCACGUGAACUUCUUUGGGAUGUGGGAGGAAACCAGAGUACCCAGAGAAAACACACGCAGACAUGGGAGAAAUGCAAACUCCACACAGUGGCCCUGGCCAAGAAAUGACAUUUUUUCUCUUCAAUUUUAUAGCAAGAUAAUGUUGAAGUAAAUGAUGCCAUUUGAGUACCUGCUGUAUAUUCCAGGAAAGACUGAACACAAUUAAAAUUGUAUCUUUACAAUACAUACAACGGAGGCUCAAAAUAAUAGACAUUAAGUUCGGUUUGAAGAAAAAAAAGUAAAUUUCCUGCAUAUGUACCUCCUGGAUUAAAAUUUAUACUACAUCACACAGGAAUCACACUUGUCUGAGAUGAAACAAGCCACAUUAUUGUGUAAAAGUGACUGCAACAACUUUUUUAAAAUAAAAAUUGUGUUCCAAUCAGCACCUAGAUGAAAUGCCCAGCACAGUGCCUAGUUUAUCUGCCUAGUUAAUAGAUGACACUCAAAACUGAUUGCUUUUCUGAUUACACGAAAUAAAAGUACUAUCUGAGAAGAAGCAAAAUUCCCAUGUCUACAAACAGGAAAGCUAACUUGGAUAAUAAGUGUGCAAUGAGAGCCAAAUGACCUUGAAGGCUUCUAAAUCAGAAAACUCAGUAUAUGUUUGAUGCAACGGUCCCUGAGAAAGUUUUAUGAUUUCAAAAUCAUAUACUAUAUCAGGUUAUUUUGCCCACUGGCAGUACCGGAAUUGGCAAAGCUGUACUUUCAAAUUCACACUAAUCAGUUAACAGUUGUUGAAAUCAAAUUGCAGCCAAGGUUGUUAGAGUCACUGAUAAAAUAAACAGUUGUUGAGAGGGGGUGGCACAAGGCAGUGAGAUCACACUAGCAGCUGGGACUCAGGGUGGGAAGAUGCCUGGGAAGUCAGAAGGCAGUUAAGACCUCCACAACCUACACAUUUGCAGACACUAGUUUAAGCUACUGACUCCUUUAGUCUUGAACUCUCCUAAAGGUGGGGGAUCUUAACUGCAUUUGCAAUUACCAGAAAAGGUAAAUAAAUGGUAAACCGCUGAAUCCACUGGCAAUCCAAAUUGCGAGAUUUAAAGCUGGGCUGGGAAUUUGAGAAAAAUAGAGUUGGUAAAUUAGCUACUUGGUACAACUUCUACAGAUGUUUUUUUGUGAGCUCUGAGUUUCUGGAAAAGCUAAAGUUCCCUGCAGUCUCCACCUACUUCCAAAGCAGUCACCAUGGCUCGCUGUCAGCCAAGUUUCCUGCCAACAGUCCCUGUGUGGGGGAAGGAAAGAAUCAAAGAAGGACAACUGGACAAAGGUAGUAUGACUUCAUCCAACUAGAUAUUUUUUCUCCCUCAUUACUAAGUCACAGUUCUGGGUCUUUUUUCAGUUGACCUUUUCUAGGUCCAUGUUCAGCAUUAUGUAUAGAGAAAAACUGUACAUUUUCACCAGGAAUGGUUUGUACUUGGUUAUUUUAAAAUUCAAUAUAGAUGAGUUUCAAAUUUGUCUUCUACCUCAAAAUGCAGCAAAUUCCAAGAAUGGAGUUUAAAUGAGCAUUGUGUAAAAAGCUCAUUCAAAGAAGCUCGGUCCUCAUUUACAGGGAAUGAGAAAAUACCUAAAAAGAAUGUGGAGGCUGAGGCCAAAGUGUCAGAUAAGUUUUUUUUAAAGAAAGAAAACCUCAGGGAAAUUUUUAAAAACUAUUUUUCAUUUUAAAAGUUAAGGAAGGGAGAUGUAUAAUUUUUAGGGUGUCAAAACCGGCCAUGUAAGUAUAUGCAAUCAUGGUUUUGAUUAUGGUUAAGUAAAUGAAGAGGAGAGGAAACUGUCAUACUUAUGGACCUGCUUAUUUGUGAUUGCGCUUAUUACUGUAUGUACAUCUCACAGUAAUCUACAGACAGCUUACAACAGUGCUGCACACGAUUAAUCUGACUUCACAGUGAGACGCUGAGAAAGGUGAAGUAAGUGGACUGAGAGCCACAGCUCCCAAGGGCAGUGCUUGGAUAGGAACUCAGAUCUUUACCUUCAAAGGUAAGCUACAAAUUCAAAAACUAAUAACCACAGACUAUUUUCAGUAGUAACUGAAACUAAUUCAGCAAAUACUAACUGAGUGUCUAUUGUGUAUUGACCACCUAACAAAUAGUGAAUUUUGGAAAUAUGUCAGACCUAGAUAAACUCUGAUAAUCUUGACAACUCUUCAGUCUCCAUUUACUUCAGAGGCAAUUAGAAAGAAAGAAACAGGCCUGCCUUCACUUCUCAACCAUCAGAGGCCUGUACAGACCCUUCCAGUUACUUUCCUUCCUUAUAUCAUCUGGGAAUGUAUUAAACCUGCAUUCUGGGCCUAUGGCUUUCAUACAUUCGGUCACAAAUAGAAAGCAAUGUUAAGUCCUGGGUUGCUACCUGUAAUGGCAGUCCUAUCCAGCCCCUCUCUGUCUGAUGCUAAGGCUCAAUGAAAUCAAGGCCAGACAGAAUUGAGGACCAGUCCAAAGUUAUUCUCUACUCCAUCAUUUAUUCUAAGCUGCCAGUGAUCUUUAUAAUUGGUAGCUAAUUUCUUAAUGGCAUAUCCAGUUUCUUGCUGAUAAACAAAACAGUGGCAAGGAAAACAGCAAAUAUGGACAGAUUUAGGAUUUUUAAUAUUAUAUUUACAGACAAUCCAAAUGUUCAGAGUAACUCAUUAUGCAAAUUCUGAUUUGGCUUUUAAGUAAAGUAUAUUUUCUAAGUACUAGUAUUUUAAAGGAAUUGCCUAAAUAAUAUGUAACAAAAACAAACAAAACAAAAUCUCAUAUGAGAGUUUCCUUGUUGUCUUAUUGUAAAUUAUUCCAGAUCUACAUUUCUUUGGCAAAAUAUUCAAAUAUGGCAGCAGUGAAUUAAUUAAUCCAUCCUUCCUUCCUUCCUUUCUUCAUUCCUUCCUCCCUCCCUCCCCCUCUCCCUUCCUUCCUUUCUACCGUUCUUCCUUCUUCUCUCCCUCUUUUCCUUCUCUCACUUCCUCACUCCCUUUUUCUUUGCUUGCUUCUUUCUCACUCUCCCUGUCUCCUUCCUUCCAUUUACAUACUGCAAUUAACACGACUAACCCAUGCUUAUUUUUCAGAGCACUUAUAUCUGAAGAAUCUCCAGUAAUAUAGCUAAUUAUGUAAUAUUGAUUGCACAGUUGAAUCCCUAAAAUAAUGAUUUCAUUCUACUUUCACUGUAAGUCUGUUUAUUUUACCCACAGAAUUAAUUGUAGUGGUAAAAUAUGUUUCUCCCUUUAUAUUCCUGACUGGUGUAAUCAAAUAAUUUCUUAAAGCACAUCACUUUUCAUUUUAAAUGUAGCUUUAAAAACCAGGUUAACAACUGCCUACAUUUAACUGUAGAUUUUAUGUGCUAUAAUAUUAUAUGUCAUCUAUUACCUGUUUUAUAGGCUUGGCAGAAUAAAAUAAUCAUUGAUCUUUUUUUCAUAUGAAUGUUACUAAGAAAAAUGGUAUAAACGUCAACCGAUUAAAAUAUUACUUAAGAUGCUUUAUUAAAAUUUAUUUUAAAGCAGUUUUUCUUAUAAAGACUUGACAAAUCUAGAGAACAUCUCAUUUAAUCUCAUUUAUGAGGAUGUUUUGCAUGCAAAGAACAACCUGAGGGAGUGUGAGAUUCCAGAAAGGCUUGGGCUAAUAUGGUUUGGCUGUGUCCCCACCCAAAUGUCAUCUCGAAUUGUAAUCCCAAUAAUCUGCACGUGUCAAGGGAGAGACCCAGUGGGAGUUGAUUGGAUCAUGAGGGGCGGGUUUCCCCCAUACUGUUCUUGUGAUAGUGAGUUCUCAUGAGAUCUGAUGAUCAUAUAAGCACCUUGCAUUUCCCCUGCUUGCUCUUCUCUCUCCUGCUGCCAUGUGAAGAAGAUCUUUGCUUCCUCUUCGCCUUCUGCCAUGAUUGUGGGUUUCCUGAGGCCUCCUCCAGCCAUGUGGAACUGAGAAUCAAUUAAACCUCUUUUCUUUAUGUUACCCAGUCUCAGGUAUUUCUUUAUACCAUGUAAAAACUGGCUAAUACCGGCUGUAUAGAGUGCUAGGACAUGUAGGCAGUUCUUACAGAACUGCUGUGCAAAUUGCUUCUUGCACAAAUCAAGAGGGGAAGAAAGAUGGGAGAAUCACAAUCUUCUCUGUAGUUUUGUUUUUAUAAACAUUGAUAACAACUGGAAAAAGAACAAUUGCCAAUUAAAAUCUCUGUAUGAUUCUAUAAGAAUCUCUUAUGAUUACUUGCUUGAAAUAUCCCAUAAUAGGAAUUCAUCAAAUUUGAAGAGUGUGAAUUGGAGUAGAAUUGGAAAGCCUCUACUAAGAAAAAAGAAAAGAGCAAUCAUCAUUGCCACCCUCACAGCUACCCAAGACAAGUACAGUAUUACUAAGGCUAGGUGUGUUCCAACAAAAAAGAUACGGAGUGAUAUUUCAUUUAGUCCACAUAUAACCUGAGAUGCACUUAGUAGUAUUUUCCCCACUUUGAAAUCUUUCUAGCCAUAGUAGUAUUAUCUCCAUUUUACAUGUGAGAAAACUGAGGCACAGGGAGACCAAGUAACUUUCCCUACAUUAUAUAUCUAGUAAGUGGUAAAUCUACAAUACAAACCUAGGACUCUGUGAUUCCAAAACCCAUGGUCUUAAGCACCACCAUCUUGAUACUCAAUAUGUGGUCUGUGGACAGGCAUUGUCAGCUUUACCUGUGGCUUUUUUAGGAGUACAUAAUCUGAUUUAAUUGCAUACUGACAUUCAGAAGCACUGCUCUAUACUAUAACAAUAAUAUGAAUAAUAAUAGCAUAUAUGACAUUAUAUGUUUAUUUAUAACUUAAAAGUAUGUGCACAUAUGCUACUUAGCUGUGGGUGAUACAAGGCUGGAAGGCAAAUAAGGAUGAUGUUUUAGAAGAAAAAGAGUCCACACUGAAGUUUCUGAGAUAACAUGGACACAGUGUACUCCUGGAGGAUUAAGAGGGGAGUCAUCAUAGAUUGAUGUCCCCAGGAACUAUUUAGCAGGAUGACAUCAUGAAAAUUUGCUAAAUUUUGCCCAGGAAAGGUUGUCCAGCCACAUCAAGAAUCUUACCAAGAGUGACACUAACAGUAAGAAUAUAAUGAAAGAAAGCCAUUUUAUAAGAGUUUGUUUUCAUUUACACAAGAAGAAAUCCUGGCAAAGCAACUCUUCAGACCCAGAAGAUAUUUAAAGCUUCAGUCUCUUUCAUUGAAAGUUUUAAAUAGCUCAAAGCACCAAAUUUAAUUAAUUUAUAUUGAAUGCAAAACCGGAUAUAAUUAUUUUAUCAUAAAUGCAAGUCAGCUAAAAAACAAAAGGAUAGGCUAGAAUUUAUUUUUUCCCAAUUCUUUGACUUUGUCCAAAUAAGAGCCAGUUCACUAAAGAGAAUCAAUCUGCCAAAUUAGUAGUACUGAAUUUACUACUUAAAUUAUUUAAAGUGUAUUGGUUUCUUUUGCUUGUCUCUUUAUAAAUUAUAAGCUUUAUUCUUCAUUUAUUCCACAACAUUCCACACACAUUUAUGAUUGCCAGUGUCAGUUCAAUAUCAUGGCUGCAGACCACCUAACACAUGCAAGGAAGAAAGAAAAUAGCUUCUAUUGAACCAGAUCAAUAACUAGAAAUGGAAACAAACAGUGAAUAUAGAAAAAAAAAAUUACAAACAUUAAAGAUGGCAGGAAGAUCCAAAGAUGUGAAAGGAAGGCAGGUAUCCUGGAAUCCUAGUAUUUCAAAAACUGAAGAUAUGGAAAAUGUGACCAGAGUAAAAGCACAGUAUAAAGAAUUAUAUAUGUAAUAAAACAUUUCCAUGAAACUACAGAAUUGCAUAUUAAAUAUAAACAAAGUUCAUCUAUUUGUCAACUUUAAAUCUCCAAAAUAAUUUCAGGAACCAAAAUUCAAUUUGGAAUAUUUCUCUUUGCUCCUGUAGUGAGUAUUUUUUUCUUCAAGUUGUUCUUUUAGCUUACUUGGCUGUAAUAAUAAAAGUAAAGCUAAUUUCCCCUCUCCCUGCCAAUUACUGUAAAGAAAGACCAUCUAAACCAGUUAAAUACAGGCAACAUGAUACAUAGAUGAGAAAGCAAUAUCUACGUGCAUUUAUUUUUUAUUAGCCAAGAAUUUCUUUAAAUUUAUUUUAAAGAAAGAAAUUUUAAACAUUUAUUUUUUAAAACAAAUUUUUAAAAAAUCCUCUGAAGAGCUCAAAGGCAUCAGCAAACGAUAUGCAAUUUAAAAUAACAUAUAUAAUGUAUCAUGUUUUCAAAGGAAUUCUAAGAGUAACGUGAGCGCUCCAAUUCUACAUGCUCACCUCUCACAGAUUCUCAACACUUUCUAAUGAAGUUAGAAAUCAAUGAGUUUAACACAAGCAUUGAGAUUUUCCUCAUCAUUUUGGACUAACAGUUUCUGAGACCAGUGUGUUUGGCCUUAAAUAGAGUGGAAGUUAUUAAGUAACACCUAAACUGAGAGUUAACUGAUGGGAAGUUUUUUGCUGUUGUUGAUAUGGAUUGCUCUCCUUUUUAAGGAGUAUGUUAGCUUUUAUUUUUGCCAGAAAUAUGAUUUUCAGGACCUCGCAAUUAUCCUAACAAUUUGAAGUCUUAAGAAAAAAGGGCCAGGCGCGGUGGCUCACGCCUGUAAUCCCAGCACUUUGGGAGGCUGAGGCGGGCAGAUCAUGAGGUCAGGAGAUCGAGACCAUCAUGGCUAACACGGUGAAACCCCGUCUCUACUAAAAAUACAAAAAAAAAAAAAAAUCAGCUGGGUGUGGUGGCGGGCGCCUGUAGUCCCAGCUACUCGGGAGGCUGAAGCAGGAGAAUGGCGUGAACCUGGGAGGUGGAGCUUGCAGUGAGCCAAGAUCGUGCCACCGCACUCCAGCCUGGGCGACAGAGCGAGACUUCAUCUCAAAAAAAAAAAAAAAAAAAAAAAAAAAGGUGAAGAAAAAGUCUAAGGCUAAGAGCAUAUAAAAUAUUAUCUCAUUUAUGUUCUGACUCAGGUUAUUUUAAUUAUUUUCAUUCAGCUAAAAUGGAACAUAUUCAUCAGAUCUACCAUAUAGUAUGUCUGUGAUCACUAAAUUAUAUUGUGUGGAAAGAAUGGUUCUAUUUUGGCUAGUAGGCACAGCAAUGUGGUAUUUUUUUUUUCUUUCUCUUUUUUUUUUUCUUUUUGGUAGUGACGGUGGUGAAGAAUGGUUUCUCAAAGUCAUUGUGAAAACUAUUAGAAUAAUGCCAUUUAUAUAGCAAGUUAAAUGUACAGACAAGUCUGUUCUGCCGAUUUUAAAUUUAAACUGAACUUCUUAACCUCCUCCAGGAGUUCUGUGACACAUAUAGUGGGAUUAAUGAGCCUUGCUUCUAAAAGUCAACUCUUCCUAAUACUCAGAGCCCAGUGCUCAUCUAAAAACUAGAGCAAUUGCUUGAAAAAUAAAGACCUUUCUAUAAAAAAUUAAGCAUCAAAUUGACAUUUUAAAUUUUGCAAGCUAGAUCAACUUCUUUUAAGAAAGUGUAAAUAAAAUCUACCACUUCUGAGAAAUAAUUAAAGGGCAGUGCUAGGAGGGUAAUGUUAAUUUGUCCAAGACUAAAAUACCAUCCCUACUCUGAAACUUGAUGCCAGUUAGAACAUCAUCUCAAUCAGAUUCCAUUAGAAUUGAUACUCAUAUAAGCAGCAAUUAAUAAAAACCAGAAAUUUUACUAAUCUCUUUUACCUUCACUGAAUGUAUAAACGUUUAAAGUAAAUUAUAAUGUCUUUAAUAGGUAAAUUUAAAUUGAAUUUCAGGAGUAGGUUGCCAAUCUAUCUUCAUAAACACAUUUUCUGAUUGACUUUUCAGUCACUUCUACAUAGUAGAAAGUUACAAGAAUCAAUGCAUCAACCUUUCUACCUGGAUAUUAUAUAGUUCUACUAUAAGGCUUUUGAACAAGCCAAAUUAUAACUGUAACAUAAAGACCACAGACCUGGGGCAUGUUAGAUAUGCCUCUCAUGUCAUGUCAGAUAAUACAAACAAGUGUCUGAAGCUGUCACAUUUAAGUAUUUAUACUGGCUGGAUCCCAAACUAAUGAUAUAGGUAGCAAAUAUUGCAAUAAAGUAUUAAUAUAUUUUUUUAAUUUUAUUAUUAUUAUACUUUAAGUUUUAGGAUACAUGUGCACAAUGUGCAGGUUUGUUACAUAUGUAUACAUGUGCCAUGUUGGUGUGCUACACCCAUCAACUCGUCAUUUAGCAUUAGGUAUAUCUCCCAAUGCUAUCCCUCCCCCCUCCCCCAACCCCACAACAGUCCCCGAAGUGUGAUGUUCCCCUUCCUGUGUCCAUGUGUUCUCAUUGUUCAAUUCCCACCUAUGAGUGAGAACAUGCUGUGUUUGGUUUUUAGUCCUUGCGAUAGUCUGCUGAGAAUGAUGGUUUCCAGUAGUAUUAAUAUUUUGCUGAAGAUAUUUGCUGCUUAUAAAAUUUGAAAAGCUUUCUAAAAUACAAAAGCUAUAUAGAUGAUAUACUAAAUAACAAUGUUGAUCACCUGAGUAUUAACGUGUCUUCAUUUUUGUUCAGAUUUUUUUUUAAAUAACAAAACUUGAACAUUACAGAAAUCUGGAAGUUUCCUUGUUUUUUCCUUACCUCUUCCAGUGUCACUCACUCCUCAGAACCACCUGCAAAUAAGGACUUGUGUGGUCUCCCAGUCUAUGUUUCAUGUAUUGUAAAUUAAUUUCAAUCUCCCUCUCUCUCUCCUGCUUUCUCUUUCUCACUGGCAUGUGAUUUAAAAAUACACACACAUACACAUAUAUUCUAUAAUUCUAUUACAUUUUGCAACUGGUGUUUCUUCCCCCAGCAGCACUGAGCUUUUGUGAUAUUUCCAUGUAAAAAUAAUUCUUUCAUUCCAGUUGUCUCUUAAGGUAUAUUUUAUAAUUAGAUCUUAACAUGUGUAUAUAUGUGUGUAUAUAUAUGUCUAUAUAUGUAUAAAUGAAGUAUAUCAGUUUCCCAUUGUUUAUAUUGUUUCUUUUUUUGCUACUAAAAACAAAAAUGAACAUUUUUGAACCAAGUCUCCUGAUACACAUAUGUAAGAAAGAGUUUUUCUACAUACCUGCACUCAGUAUUUUAAACCAUGAGCCACAGUAAGAAGCUUGCAUAUGUGCAUAAACAUAUGUAUACAUAUACAUAGGUAUAUAUACACAAUAUAUGUAUGUUUUUUCUCUCUAAAAUUAUAAAAUUUUCACUAUGAUUUUAGGUAAGUAAAAUUAAAAACAAACUUGAAGCUCAAAAUAAUUAUUUAUCUGCCUCAUUCCAAACAAGGCUCUUAAAACCAGAUUCUGUCAAUAGCACCUCAUAGGUAGCAUAACUAAUUAAGGUGAUUCUAAAAAUCAAAUAUGUACUUAAUGAAUUUUUUUACCUAAAAAAAGUAAGUAGAACUAUCCGGAAAAAAAAAGGCAUUUUCUUUAUAGAGCUCCAAAAGCUCCAUCUAUCUGAGUACAUAAAUUCUAUAUAUGUUAGAAAGUGGCAGAAAACGCUGGUUAUCUGUCUUAUAUCACAGGUUUUUUGGAAGGCAAAAACUGUUGCUUUGCAACAUACUAUGUGGUAAAAGUCACAGAAGCAUUAACAUGGUACAUAUGUACAGAUGUUCUAAAGAACAUAAAGAUGUUUUGAUAAAACUGAUUAUUUUUCUAUGUGAUUUCUUUAAAGAAACUGCUUUAAAAUGCCCCAAUCUAUUGUACAACUGGACUGUCAUUUCUUUUACCUUCCAUUUAAAAAAAAAACUUGAAUAUAGAAAUUAAAAAAUAAAGUUUCUUAUCUCUAUAUAUAGUCACUUAAAAUACCUAUUUUUUAUUUGAGUCCCUUAAAAUUCUUUGACAGGUCCUUGAAAUAAAUUUCAUUUUAGAGUAUUCAGGGAAAGACGUUCAAGAAUUAACCACUAAUUUUAUCAUUUUAAUAUUUGCCCAAACUCAAGAUAAAAUGUGGAAUAAGAGGUUAUACUUCGAAGAAAGGCAAAAUGCAAGUUAUCUUACUUUUACUCUACUACUGUCUUGAUUUAUGAGCUUCAGAGAGAACCAUCUGACAUUGGCACACCUCUUCAGGAUAAGAGAAAUUACGUAGCGCUAAAGGAAUUUCAGUAACAAUGUUCUUGUGACUCUCAACCAUACGUUAUAUGAAUUACCUAAAUAACUGCUUCAAACUCCCCUUCCUUUUCUACAUGUAAAUGGAACCAUGAAAUCCUAAACAUACAACAAACAGAGCAGUGCUUCUCAACAAUCUUUGCUGAAGGACCAGCCCUACCCCCAUCAGUCAUAGACCAAUACUUUUAUAAAAUACAAUAAAAAUGAGUUAUCAGAAAAAAUAAAAUGAAAUAGACUUACAAAAUAUAGCCAUAAUUCUUGAUUGGUUUUCAAAGAUGUGAAAUUACUCUGUUAAGUUGCUAUAAAUACCUCUAAAUGCUCACUCUCAAUUUCCAUUAAACAGUUCUCAGAUCAGUAUGGGUCUGUGUACCACACUUUGAGAAGUACUGAGUCAUGAAACAAAUAUACUUGCUGGCAAAAAGUUCUCAUUCCUUUUACUAAGAGUAAUUGUUCUUUACAUUUACGUUGGUGGGAGGGAGAUGUGGAAGAGGCAACUUUACUCAAGUGAUAGUCUGAGAAAGUUAGUUAUUCUUUCAUCUGUACUUAGUUGUGAAAAUGGAUUUUCCCACUAAUUUUGGCCAUGAGGUAGAACACAGUGACUCUCAACACUUAAAGGGCAAAGAAAUCACCUUGGGGAAGUGCAAAAAACAACAACAACAACAACAAAAUGCUUAUUAAGGCUUCAACACCAGAGAUUCUGGUUCAAUAGGCUUCCUCAAUGCCUGCAAUUUCUGUGUUUCUCCUAACCUUCAACACCUUUACUCACUCCUAGAAGGUCAAUAUGAUUAUUCUAGUUUCACAGAUGAGAAAAUGCAGGCUCCACGUUUUUGCCUUAGGCUGUAAAGUAUUAAACAUAGAACUCAAAUCUUUUAGAUUCAAAGUUUAGUGUUGUUGCUUUUUCUUAUGUAUGCCCUAUAGUAUAAAAGAAUAUUGAGUUUUACAAAGCCUAAAUUGUUACUGAAAUAGCAGUGUAUUUUUUAAUUUAUUAACAUUUAAAGUUAUUUAUUCCCCUGACAAUGAUUGCCAUAUACAGCAAAAAUACGUGUGCUGGUGACAUUAGACAGCAUCUUUACUGUCCACUGAUGUCCUAGACGCUCUUUUUUAUAGUCAUUCAAUCACAGCCAGACUCUCAUUCAGGAAAUAUUUUGCUUUCUCAGUUAAGUCCCUUGAGGUAUACCAAAUUAUUAAGUUAAUUAGCUAUUAAAGUAUACCAAGGCUCAUAUAGCUGAUUUAAAAAAUUACAACCAUUUGCAGACAAGAGGUCAUCUAGCUAUGUUGAAAACAAAUUGUACUGAACUUGGAUCAAGGAAUCUGAAAUCUAGCCAUGAUUCAGUGAUUUACCAUUUGUAUGAUUUGGGGAAAAUAAUUUUCUCUCUAAGUUCAGCUUCCUUAUCUGUAUCAUUUAGAUAACCUGCAAUAUGCAAGGCUCUUAUGAAAUUAGAUUUUAAAAAUAAUGGGUAUAAAAAUGUUUUCCCUACAGUCUUUGUCACUUAGUUGAUGAUCAAUACAUUUUUUUUCCUAUUAAAAAAGGCAAUAUAUCGUGUAUUUACUUCCUUGGUUCAUAAGAGUUACAGGGUAGGGGGUGCUAAACUAGCUCCAAAUAGAGAACUUUCUUACCCUUACAACUGUAUGUAGAUGACCCACAAUAUAGAGUCUCUCACCCCACAUGUAGGCCUAUAUACUUUCACUGGAUGUAGUCAGGUAGGAAGCUGGAUUACCAGUUGUCAGGAACAUUGCAGAAGAAAUUCCAGCAAGUGUGGGUAGGCAGAUCAGAUGGCUCUAAAUAUCCUUUUCCUAUUAAGGGUUGUCAUAAUAAUACCAUAGACUGGGUGGUUUCAACAACACACAUUUAUUGUCUCACGGUUCUGGAGGCUAGAAAUCCAAGAUCAAGGUGUCAGCAGGGUUGGUUUCUUCUGAAGAUUGUUAGGGAAGGAUCUGUUCCAUGUCUGUCUCCUUGGUUGUAGAUGACAUUCUCCCUGAAUCUCUUCACUUUAUUUUCCUUCAAUGCAAGUCUCUGUGUGCAAAUUUUCCCUUUUUAUAAGGACACCAGUCAUAAUGAAUUAGGGCCCACUCUAAUGAUCUCAUCUGAACUAAUUACAUCUUCAAUGACCCUAUUUCCAAUUAAGAUCACAUUCUAAUUCACUAGGAGUAAUGGCUUCAACAUAUGAAAAUUUGAGGGACACAAUUCAACCCAUAAUACUAUUAUUCAAUAUUUAGGAUCUCCAUGAGAAGUAGAUGUCAGGAGUCCCAGUUUUCUCUUAGUUUUGCCAUUUGCUAGCCAUGAAACUGGACAUCACUCAAUAACUCUAGGCUUGCUUACCUGUAAAAUAAGCAUGUUGAAGAAAAAAAUUAACUCUAAAAUAUUCUUUCAUUUUAACAUGUCUAUGUCUAAGUGUGGAGUAGAGGUCUCCAAAAGAGCUACUGGAUCACAAAAUGAGGUGUAAGCUUCAAUAUUUUCUUAUUUGGGUCCUCUUAUUUACUCAAAAUCCCAGUUACUAAGAAACUCACAGUAGGAAACAGGCCAAAUAUAUUACUUGCAAAGCCUCAUCUCAUUAUGAUUAGGUUGACUACAUAAAGGAUAUCUAUAUAUAAAUAUAUAGAUGUGUGUGUGUGUAAUGUGUAUUAUGCCUCGAUCUUUAAUGAGAAGAACAAUUAACAUACGCAUAAAUCAAAUAUCUUUGGAAGGAUAGAUACAAAAGCCAUUUACCACAUUGCUUGCCACUUAAGAGAGAACUAAGUUGCAGGGGAAGAGCAGUCAGGAAAUUGUUGCAUUCUCUUUAGAUUUUGAAUCAGAGGAGAAUGCGCUACCUAUUCAAAGAGUAAACAAGGAUUAAAUAAGAAAAAUAUUCAUGCGUUGUGCAUUUGUUUAGCCUUUGGUUUCUAAGUCUGAAUAGUGUAUAUUGAAGUCAUUUUGUGCUUCGAGGUCACUAUAAUAAGUACAUUUGACUUUGACAAACUUUCCAUUCUGCAGAAAGCUACAGGACUCAGCAAACAUGCUUAGAUAUCUGCUUCAGUGUGAAACGUAUAAUGAAAGAAGACUUCAUAAGCAGCUGUUUCUUAAGAAGCUUGUGUUAUACAAAUAUGACACAGUUAAUGAACAGAACUAGAGAGCAAUCUGCUACAUCUGUCUUCAAAGGACAAGGAAGAUAGCAAUCAAUACUGUAUUUACGACGGCAUUUUUCACCUGAAAAGUUUCCACUUAUCUACCGCUUCUGUCUAAGAAAGACAGGCUUUUUUUUUACUUAAAAUUUCUCCCUUGCUGCUUACCUAUUUUAGUGGUAGCAGCAGUUGUAUAAACUUAGUAAGAAUAGUUAUUAAUGUGUAAACUGAAUUAAUUAAUAUCUCUUUGAACAAAACAAAUGGAAGUGUGCCUAACCACUGUUUCUAUCACUGGCUGAGGGAAAGAAGGCAUUUCCGUAGCUGGAGCAGGUAAUAAAAUACAGAGCCAGAGAAGAGAGCACUAUACAGGAAUCAUUUUUUAAAGGAAAGAAGACAAAGUGUGCCAAUUCCAUUUUAAAGAUGAAGGAGACAAAGAUUCUGAAGGGUAUAUAUCCAAAGAUAAUAAAAACGUGAAAUUUUCUGUCUUGGAUUCUGUAUUUUUAUCUGUAAUAUUAUAAGUGUACAUCUAAGCUAAAGUUCUAGAAUAAUCUCUAUAUGUUAAGCAUACUUAAUGCUGUCUUAGAGUCCUAAAAUACCUCACCAACAUUUUAUCACUAUGACAGCCUUUAUGGACUUACACAAAAUAGUUGAUGAAUACUAUAAAGAAUUGAUUUGUAAGUACAUUCUUUGGGCAACCACUGGGAUUUUUACAUCACUGUCCUUUUAUUAACCAGAGUAAACAAACACAUGAGCCAACUUAAAAUUACAGAUGCAAAUUAAGGAGAUGACUCGAGUCUAUGCUUGCUUUUCUUUCCUAAUAAGUGAUUAAAUUAAUAAUUUCUGUUAGAUGUCAGUUAUCUAAUGCAUAAAACAGUGAGUGCUUAGAAUUUUUCUUUCUUAUUGACACAAUUCCAUCAAUUACACUUCUUAUGGUACAAAUGUUAUGGCUAUUUCUCUUCUAUCAAUUAUCUGUUAUGUGUUUUUCCUGUCUUUUUAUUUAUCUAUAUCUAUUACCUAUCUACCUAUAUAUCUAUCUAUUCCACUCUAUUCAUUCAUUCAAAAAAAUGUGCGUUGAGUCUUUGCUAUGUUUCAUGUUCUAUACUAUGGUUACCUUAAUAAAAAAUAUGCAUAUGGUAUUUAUCUCAGAUUCCAAAGCAAACCUUAACCUUUACCAUAUAGCUUUCCUUGGCCACCUCCAAGUGACCUCUCCUUCCUUUGAACUCAGGUAGCAUUUACUUUUAAAGAACUUUGAGCAUUUAAUUAUAGUUCUUUAUAGAAUGAUUUAACUACUCCACCCCAUUUUCAACAAAUGAAGCAAACUCUAGAGGUACCUGCCAGUGUAGAGUACACUGUUUAGUUUAAUCUAUUAACAUCUAGGUGUUUUUCUAGUACCUGAUAGAAGAGAAUGUUUAAAGGAGUACUAAUCAACUAUGUCAACUUCAUAGAUAACCAUUCUUCCUCCUCCUUCUGCCUUUCCUCCUCCCUCUUCUCCUUUUUCUCCUCCUCCUCACUAUCCUGCUUCUUCUCUUCUUCUUUCUCAGUGUUAUCACUGUCAUCGUAUUUCUAGUGUCUACUAUUGUCAGACACAUUAUCAGUGCUUAAUAAAUGCCCAGUAAGUGAAUCAGUAAAAAAUUACCUCUUCUCCCUCCUCAUACUCUUCAUUAUAUUUGUUAAUGUUAUGUUUUUAACAGGUGCUUUCAAAUGCAGUUAUUUUAAGUAGUCACAUUUUUCAAUAUACAGAAUUAUUGAGUAGGACUCAAAAGUUUGUAAAAGGAAGAAAUCAUUGAAUGAAUAAAUGAAAUACGCAUCUAUGUGUUUUCCUCAGCAACAUUUUUGAGAUCAUGACACACAUAAAAACUUGUAAAAUUUCAUAGAAAAAUGUUGGCCUGUAAUCAGUUGAAACGCAAGUGGUAUCUGGUAUGUAGUAAGCGUUCAAUAAAUGGCUGCUGUAACCAGAGUCCUGAGCAAUGUCAUACAAGGAAGGCUCGUAGCAUUUCUGGAAGCUAAAAUAUAACCACAGGAGGACCAUUCUUGAGAUACAGUUGCACCUAUAGAAAAUUCAAAUUUCCCCCGUCUGUCCUCUUCCCAACACCCCACCACACAAACACCGGAAGGUAAGUUCCAUAAUUGUAAGAAUUUAGUUUGCUAGUUUCACUACUGAAUCCUCAGGGCCUAACACAUAGUAGGUAUUCAAUAAAUAUCUGUUGAAUAAAUUUUUAAAAACCCCACUGUCUGGGAGUGUAAAAAUUGUUCAAUGUAUUUCAUCUUUCUCCUGCCUUCCCCUCCCUCUGCCUACAUAUGUUCAAAAUCUCAGGCCCCUCCCCAGAACUUUUGAUUCAGAAUCUGUACUUUUAACAUGAUUACCUGUGAUUUCAUAGGAGAAGCACUGCUAUAAAUCACAUAAAUUUCACUUUUCUGUCCUCCAAUGGAUAAAACUCCUCGACUUGUUGAUCAAAACCCAACCUCACAGUACACUCAAGUUUCCAGCAGUUGGUCCUUUGUAAAACUAGGAGUCAGCUGCUAGGACUUGAUCUCUCUCUCUCUCUGUCUCUCUCUCUUUAUCCCCCUCUCUUCCCCACCUCCUCUCUUUGCUCUUUCUCUUUGCUUUCAUGAUAAAAUCAUAUUAUACAGAGGAGCAGCACAGAGUAAAAUUUCAUAUGCUAAUUUACAUUUUUAAUGUUAAAGAACCAUCAGCCAAAGCUAGCUAAAGCAAAAGUUAUCCUCUUUUAUUGCUCUUUUUUCUGCCUCUCUACUUCCUAUGUGACCUCCUCACUCUUCCUUGUGCAUAUCCUAGAAGGCAGAAUAACUAAAUAUUUACUGAGUAUCUGGCAUCUGCAGGCACAGGAAGUCAGUUUUCCUCAUUUAAUCUUUAUACCAACUGGAAAUAGAGCCAUGGGGACGGGGGCAUGGUAUCAUGCUCAGUCAGUCCUCAUGAACACAUUCUCCAAAAGUAGUACUUUUUCAGUGACAUUCUAAAAGUUUAUUAUUGUCACAACUGUGAGUUAGAAUAUGAAGAAAAUACAUAUGUUAGAGAAAUAAAGAAUAAAAGGGAAAUGGUGAGACGCUAGGAGAAAACUGUCAUAAAAUGUGGCCAUUUUUUCAUGAUUACCUUCUGUUCUGAACAACAACCCAAAGUCUGGCCCAAGCCAUUCUCCUUCGAUCUCUAGCAUUUUAAAAGCCAACUAUACCUCUGAUAACAAACCUAAGAGUCUGGGCUUUUAAAUUGUUUGUUUAGUUAUUUUAUUGUACAGGACACUGGGGCUCUGAUAGAUUUAGCCUUUGUCCACAGUUACAGAGACAGUCAGCUUUUCUGAUUCUGCAUAGUGCUUUUCAUUCUAUCACUGGCAUCUCAGCACCAGGGCCACCCCUGCUUUACAUCCCAGAGACUGGAAGCCUGAGGCUUAUAUGCCCAUGGAUCCUUGCCAACAGUGCCCAGGUAUAUUAGACGCCACUGAAAAGAAAUAUUUCACAGAAUGUGGAUGGAAAUAACUGGGAUUACUGAGUGUCCUGUGUCUGCAACUCCAUGACUCCAUGAAAGAGAACGGAAAAAAACGAGAGCUAGCAACAGUCUUCUCUGACCUGUUUGUCGAAUACUCCCAAUGGUUUUGUAUGCACCUAAAUCCUUAAAUUAUUUCCCAUUCGAAUGCCUGGAAUAGUUUGUAUUUUUUUCACCCAACCCUCACUAAGACAACCAUACAGCCAUUUGCUCCUGUACUCAAGCUAACAUUCUAUGCUGUACAUCUUUCUGUAUAAACACACUUUAUUAACAAAAAUUUCCUUAUUUGUCAACUUCACCUUUACAAACUGAAUUGUUUUCAUGGCAGAGGUCAUAACAUAAUCUGUUUUCACUGUUUCUGGCACAUAAUGAUGCAGCUGCUGAAUAACUAGCAGUUGACUGAAUGAACUAAGCUCAAACCCCUUUCUAAUAUUUCUUCCUAAACAUCAUCUAUCUACUCCCAUGACUGUUCUCUUUCAAGAAAUACAAAUUCAGAAGAGGAUCACUGGGAUCAGAAUAUUUUUAAGCACUGAAACUCUAAUGUCUUAAGAGAUUAAAGGGCAGGCUGGGAAAUACGUGAGGAAUUCAAGGAAAGCUAUCUUUUGUGUGAAAGCUACUAGAACAUCAAGGGAUACAUUUCUAGGGAAUAGCUUCUGUUGUGGCUCCUUAAAAGUUGGCUUUGAGGAGACUAAGGGAUCCUGAUAGUCUCAUUGAAUGUCUUAUUUUAUACCUAUAACUCAGCUCUGAUUCUACAUCUUUCCUUCCCCUCCUAACUAUGCUUACUUUUAUAGACGUUUCAUUCUUGCUGAUUCACACCCAAACUUCAUGGUUUAUGCUCUUGUGGAAGACAAUAAUAAGAGAUAUCCACUUAUAUUUUUUAUACAUUUUAUAAGUAUACAUUUUAAAAUUUUUCCUUUAUGUUUCUGCCAACUCUAUCCCAAACAGAGAGAUGACUGCAUAUUCAUAUCCUCAGGGGAAGAAUAUAGUCUCUGAUCACCAGGCAGAGAGUCUCUGAUCAUCAUGGACUUUGCUUUAUAAAGGUCAUAUGGGUAAAAGUUGUUGGGUGGCAGAGUUCAUCACUUAUCAUCAAAGAAGGGAUAGCUGUAUUGUGGAUCUAGGUAGGAGGGACUGCUGACUGCCUUGCAAAGUUUGUGUGUCUAAGCGUGGCACAGAAAAAGCUGAGAGCCAGGUGCCUAAAGGGUCAUGCUAGCCAGGUGCUGACCAUCUCAUGAAUGCCUAUGUGGAUAAAUAACUUGAUGAUCAGAGGAAGUCUCCCACCAAAGCCUUAUAACCUGUUAGAUAAUUGUUGGAGUCCAAAACCUUAGCAUACCCUGAAACAAAAUUAGAGUGGAUUUCCCUCCAGCCUGAUGAAAUGGGCUCUCUUGAAUGAGAAAUAAAGUCAAUUUAUGGCAGUAAAAAUUACGUUUUAUACAUACCGAAUUUUUGGGUUUUGAUUCAUAUCUGCUAUAAAAUCAAGAACUCAGACUGUUACUGAAGGAAAUGCUCUGUGCCCUAAUUCUGAGUCAAAAGCUACCUGAUUAUGGGCUUUCCAACAAUUCACUUCAGUUGGAAGCAAGGAAUGACUUCAUCCUUGGCUGGCUAUACCUUGACCAUCACUGGAAGGGAAUAACCAAGGAAAAAGCAACAGUUGGAGCAACAGAGGGCCUCUUGGUUUAAGUAGAAUAAAUAUCAACACAAGUUAAAAUCCAUGAUGGAGGAAAAAGAAUCAAGUCAAACUUUUGCAAUCAGUUAGACAAGGAACUGUCACAUUUUCAGAAUCAGAAGGGUUUACAAGCUGCUUAUGAGCAUGCUGCUUAUCACUUAAAUAGUGCUUGUUAUAUACCAAGCCCCAUUCUAAACGAUUAACCCACACAACCCUUACCACAGACUUAUGAGGCGUAUUAUAUUAUUAGUCCCAUUAUGUGGAUGAAGACUUGAUGACACAUGGGAGUUUUGUGACCCUUCCAAGGUCUUAUCGAUGGUAACAGGCAGUUCUGAGAUUUGAACUUAGUGUAGCUACAGAGUUCAGCUUGACCAACACACAACGCUGCCUUUGCCCAUGAAAAAAACCCACAAAUCUCUGAAUGGUAUAACCUCCCAAUAAAGAGACUAUCAUACCUUUUAUUUUAAAGAUGAGGAAAUAGCAGCAAAGAAGGUAAAGAGAUUUGCUCAGGAUCAUGUAGCUCAACACAUCACUCAUCUUUGUUUUAUGUUAAAUGAUAUUCAUUGUCAGUCAAGUUAACCACUUUGUUAUUAAUAUUUCCCAAGAGGCAAAUCAAAAGUUUUAAAUCCAGCCUUUUAUGGCCUUCCAGGAAUUUUACCUAAAAUGCUCUUAAGCUGACAUGGGACCGCAGUGAUGGGAUGCCAAGUGGUCUCAGAGGCCAGAAAAAGCACCUUGAUGGGUAAUUCCCCUGGGUGUCUGGGACACAAGGCUGUGCCAGGAAACCACUUAACAGAAGAGCAGGCAAGAAAUCAAGGAAAGGGAACCCAGGGGAUUUCAGUGUAGUCAUUUAGGAAUAAGGGAAUUUGAUGCUGAGCAAGGUUUCCUCUACUCUUAAUGAAACACCUAGGAUUAGAAACCUGUGUUUUGUAAAGGUGACCUUUAUGUUGCUUUAUUUAUGAGAUAUCAAUUUCAAAACGAGAUUCGUAUGGAAAAUUCCUCUCCCUACAAAAAGCAAAGGGAUCAUUUUGAUUCUCCCUUGUCUUUUAGCAAGGACUAGCAUAUAGCUGUACUGACUCAUUGACAUGUCCAAAGGCCAUGUGACAAAGUACUGUUAAGGAAAAUAAGACCCACUGCUAUCUCCUGAAGAAUUAUUUAAUUGUGGGCCGAAUAUAUAUAUAUAUAUAUAUAUAUAUAUUUAUUUAUUUAAAUCCAUCAUGGGGACAAGAUAUUGCAACAAGAAAGCUGUGUUAUUUAGAUCACUGGACAUUGAGUGACCUCUCAUGUUAAUCCUUUCUGCUUUGGUUGCAUUGACAUGUCCUGUCAUUGACAAGCUCAGACUUGCCUUUUAACAACCACUGUUGUUAUCUGAAGGCUGAAAAGAUAAUAUUAAAAAAAAAAAAAGUCACUUACUCGUUUCUAACCUUUUCAACCCUUAUUUCAAUUUUCAUCCUAAGAAUACUCUUACUGAUCGCAGAAAAAGAAACACACGAUGGUGAAAAUGAUGCAUCUGCCAACUUACAAAAAGACGUCUUAAAAGUGAAAACAGAGGCAAGAAAGUAAUUGAACCUGUGCUGAGAGGCUAUUGACAAAGCCCAAAGAAACAAAGAAAUAUGAGAGUUAACUUGGGCAACAAUAACACACACUAAAACUCUUGCUACCAGAACCCUGAGUUGUUUUAAGUUAAUGGUGGGAAGAAAGUGCUGUAUACUUAAAACAUAAUCACUGCUGCCAUUGUCAAGGUCCUAUUUAUUAAGUUAGAAAAACGUAACAGAUUUGGAAAUUAAAAUAGAUAGAAGAAACACAUUUUUAAUUUUUAAAUACCUGCUGAAAUUCUAAUGUUCUCUCUAAUAAAUACAUUGUUUCAAUAUGGAUGUAUACCUACAAAGCUAUAGAAUUGUUGCUGUUGCCCAGAAGACACUAGAGGGGAUACAUCAACUCAUGAUCAACCGAAUCGGAUCGAAUCUCUUUUUAUUUUCCUUGAAGGAGCCUGGUUCUGGGGAUUUUGCCUAACCAAGCAAACAACUAACUUCAUUAUGGCUUCUAGACAAACCAUGCAAUGAACAAUAUAGCAAAAUGGAGGCAGUGGCCGAACCAACCCUGGCCUUUAAGUUAGUUUUCCAAUACCUUCCACUCAGGCAAAGACAAAUUUGGCAGGUACUUACCGCAUUGAAAUUGGGGAAGAGGUUGACUGCAGCUGCAGUGUCAAGAGGAAAGGGAAGAAAUGGUUUAAUAUCCAGCGAUGGUUGCAAAGGAGGGGCUGGUGGACGGACAAGGGCCGGGAGAGCAGGACUCUGGCAUGUACCACCUGUGAAGACCAGAGCAAAGGGAGCAAUCAGGGACACCACGCAUGGAAAAAAACACCAAAGUUGCUUUUGAGACAAAAAAGGCCAGCUUUGUGGGUCACUGGAAAAAACAAGACAUGGACUCUAUUGACCUCAACUGGGAACCGGCCAAUGAGCAAAUUUGCCAUUAGGCAGAGGGAGCUAGUUGAACUGCUCCAUUUUCCUUUGAUUAUAACUAUCUGGUUAUGUAAGUAACAUCAACAUUUCAAAUGCCCCAACCUGUCUUUAUUUUCCUGCCUAGAGCUCCAGAUUGGGUCAGUCACAAAUCUGCAACCAAGAUCUCUGAAUUCAAAGGGAAAACCCCUCCAUCAUGCACCCAUCCCUCUUUGAAAACUAAACCACUCACAAUAUGCAUUAAGUCUGAGUGAUUAUUUUACAGAACUGCUCUUUGCUACCACAUCCAAAACUCUGGCAGCAAGAUUACAUGAACUUGGCACAUAAAAGAAAUUUAACCUCGAACUCAGGCAGCUGUACCUUACUGCUCUAGCAACUGGAGGAUUAAAAACCAGCAAAACCAGUGCUACGACGAUGUCUGAACUAUUCAGCACCCCUACAGCUCUGAGUAUUCAACAACUCCCUGCCUCCCUCCCAGUCAUGAGUAGGUGGAAUUUAGAUGGCCACUGUUGAGCAGGCAGUGGGAAUAUUAUGCCAACAAAGACAUCCCCUUUGCAUGCCAGUAAGUAGCCAGCCUUUUGCAAGAGAGCACAUACAUUUGCCCCGUUAUAGGACUCUGCCACACUCAGGAGCUGGAAGGAUGGAAGCCCAUCUUUAGUGUUCAGUCUCCCAUAUUUUGGUAACAUUCCAAAACAUCAAUUUGCUGUUAAUUAAAGGCUGUUUGAAUCCUAGGAAACUGUUAAAAUAUGCCAGCAUUCUUCUAAUCUGAGAGGCAAGCAACAGACUGUAAAAACCUGCUGGUGAGAAUCCAACAAGCAUUAGGAAAGCAAAAUGCAGUGGGAUUUUUUUCUCUCUAACAGUAAAGAAUUCUAGGAGACAUGCUUGCGCCACUUACUUGCCUGCCAUCUCGUUUUUAAAAACAAAGUAGAGUGAGUCUCCUCGUAUAAAUUGCCUUUGCAAAUUUCACAACAAACUCUCUGGCCAACUGCACACAGAACAUCAUCUUGCCCUCAAUCAGUUACCAGAGCGCAAAAUUAACAUUCUGAAAAUGAUUCCCCAAUGAUAAAUCCAACCCUAUGGAGCCACGGAGGAUCUGCUAACAAGGUAGAUGACUUAGUACCUAUAACAGAAGCCAUCAGCACAGGAUUUAAUUAACCAUACACAAGAACCAUCAGCUCUCCUGCUCCCAGGUAUAAAAUCAGCUGGAGCCAAAUUAAGAAAAACAGUAUUUUCCCCCACUGUCUUACCUUCCUUCUUGAAAUAAUAAUAGCACGGCCAACAAUAGCAAAGUCAAUAACUGAAGUCUGUAAUCAGUAAACUAAUUUUCAAAGUAGUACAAGGCAGUAAAUAAAGGGCAGAUGUCAAAACAAGUAGAGAUAACAACGAAAUAUAAUAAGUCUACAUUCACCAGAGCACACACACUAUAAACUUAGUUUAUUGUCCACUUGGUAGUGUAUUGAGUGUGAGUGUGUAACCAUUUUUAGAGAGGGCAUCCAUAAAACUUUAGUGAUAGACCUGUCAUGAGUUUAGUGUUGUUAAAAGUUUCUCUUUUAUUAAAAAUUUUAAAAACCAAAAUAAAUUUUUGGAUGGUACAUCUUUAAAAAACUCAGAAGUAAGGCCAGGUGUGGUGGCUCACGCCUGUAAUCCCAGCACUUUGGAAGGUCAAGGCGGAUGGAUCACUUGAAGUCAGGAGUUCAAGACCAGCCUGGCUAACACGGCGAAACUCCAUCUCUACUAAAAAUACAAAAAUUAGCCAAAUGUGGGGUGCACACCUGUAAUCCCAGCUACUUGGGAGGCUGAGGCAGAAGAAUCACUUGAACCCAGGAGGCAGAGGUUGCAGUAAGCCGAGAUCGCACCACUGUACUUCAGCCUGGGCGACAGAGCAAGACUCUAUUUCAAAAACAAAAACUCAGAAGUAAAGUAAGAUUUGGUCGAAAUCAGUGAUGUGGUGAAAUUUAAGAAGUAGUUUUAAAUUACUUUUAUUUUUGUUGUUGCUUUUGAGACAGGAUCUCACUCUUGUUUCCCAGGCUGGAGUGCUGUGGUGCCAUUAUGGCUCACUGUAGCCUCAACCUCCCGGGCUUAGCUGAUCUUCUCACCUCAGCCUCCCAAGUGGCUGGGACUACAGGCGCAUGCCACCAUGCCCACCUAGUUUUUGUACUUUCAGUAGAGACGGGUUUUUGCUAUGUUGCCUAGGCUGGUCUCAAACUCCUGAGCUCAAGCAAUCCACCCACCUCGGCCUCCCAAAGUGCUGGGAUUACAGGUGUGAGCCACCAUGCCCGGCCCUAAAUUACUUUCAUUUGUGUCACACAUCAUUCUUUGCAAAUGAUAUUCAUAUACAUUCACCUGGUUUGAUUCUAAGAUUUCAGAAAUUCGGUAAGGGUUAACAACAUAACAUCAUGUAGAGAAAAAGAAAUAUGUUGAUAAACUCUGCAGUUGUUUAUCUUGCUUCCGCAGAAAAUACCAUGCUUAUAAUUACAAGAAUGCAAUUUAGCAAGAAAAUAUUCUACAAUUGUUUAUUUUAAGUCCUCCUCUGGUUUAGGGUAUCCAAAGAAGUUAAGGAAUAGCUCAAGCUGAUUUUUUAUCUAGCACAAUGAGAGAUAUAAAUAAUAAAAAUAUGUCCAUUCAAUUAUCAUGUAAAUUUAAUUUCCCAUUCUCUCUUUUAGGAUAUCUAUUUCAUUUAUACUUGUAUAAACAGUUCAAGGUCCUCUCUCAGUGUUGCAACUGGAGUUUCCUUCCUAGGGGUUAAAAAAACCUUCAAAGAAGAGUCAUAAAAACCUUAGAAAGUUCGAAAAAAUAUUUAAGCUCAUCUCUUCUCACCUGUUGGAAGAGAGCAAUGUAUAAGAUUGUAGGAAAGCAGAGGACAUGUGUCUACAUAUUUUUAGACUAUCUGCUAUGCAAAUACAGGUGUAGGGAUGCUGUGGGUCUGAUUCCCAGAACCCCCUUCGGCACCAAGGCACUCCUCUCAGCUGCUUGGAGUGCUGGUGGCUGAUGUCCCUGGCCUGAGAGCCUCUUUACAAAUUGCCCUGGGCCAAAGGGAGCUGCCUUACCUAAGGUGACCCUUAAGUGGAGGAGUUGAUAGCCCCAAGCAAUGACUGAUUCAUGCAGGAGUUUACUGGCUUUGCCCCCUUGCCUCAAAGCAGGAAAACUCUGAAGCUCUAUUUUACCUCCAAAGUUCCUCAUGGCAUCUAGGGUAGGCUGAGGCCUCUGCUGUGACUACAUCACAGUCCAGCUCCUUCCUCUUCCCAAUCCUAUAUCCCUCACGUCUCACAAAUGAUGUUUCCAUGAGCACUCCCUAAUAAAGUCUCAGAGCUCACUUUCAGAAUAACUUGAUCUGUGACACCAGGAUACAGCAAUUCAGGUGUUUAAGUAAAAUGAAAAAUUGCUUUAUUCUAAAAUAGAUGCUUGCCUCCAAACCUAUAGCACUGAUAUUGAGGCACGAAAUCGAAGCUACUUCUUAAAAAUUAUCUGUGACUAACAUUUCUGCUUUUGAAAUCUGGAUUAGUCCUAAAAUAUUUUACUUGUACCAAUCUGUACUUGCUCAGCAACAAGAAUACUAUUUGCAAAUAGUGCAAAAUCAAAACCGGCAAAUAUAAUAUGUUUCAUCUGUAAAGCAAAGUAAAAUAUUCUCUUUGAGAAAAUAGCUAUUUCGUUUUCCCAUAUUUAAAUAGAAACUAUUGCAUCUAAGGUAUGAAUAAAUGUUUAUUAUUUUACUUAUCAUAAAAUUAUCUUGAUAACUAUAAACAUGAAAAUGUAUAAUAGAUUUGUAGACAUUUCUAUAGGUGAGAAAGUUUUGUUCUUAAUGUUUACCAACAAUGUCACUUUAUUCAUUGGAAUGCCACAUUUCUGGAAAUAUUAAUAUUCUUAAUUGAAGCAGGUCUUUUAAAGCCUCCAUGGAGUAGGGUCAGAAAAAUAUAUAAACUCUAUGUCUAGUACCACAUAUUUCAUAGCCUAUGCUAUUUUAUUACACAGUUUUAACAAAUUAGUCUGAUUUCAGAGAAGUUACUAUCUCUACACCAAAAUUUGUUGUGUGACAUUAAAGUCAACAAAUGACAAAAGCAUUUAUUAGUACAGAAUAGCAAUCAAUACUGAAUAAGGUACUGAAUAAUUAAUGUAAACUAAGUGAUCAUUAAUGUUCACAAAAUUCUUCUCCCUCCUUUUUUGAUGUUUUUGUUAGCAUAUGUUUAGAAUUUAAGUUUCAAAUGCGAACUAUAGAAUAAACAUAAUAAAUGUUGUUUCGGUCAAUUUAAAAGGGCCGUAUAUUCACAAAAGUACUAACUUGUGAAUAUGAAAAAACAAAAACAGAGUUACUAAUUCCUAAGUAUUUGUUAAUAGAGACUGAGAAAGUAAGACACAUUCAUUUCAGAAGUUUGCAUUUUUGAAAAGCAAAUUAAUAUGUAAAUUUAGACAUGUUUGUUUUGAUAAUUCAUACAGAUAAAUAGGAACUCUAAACCAGUGGUUGUCAGUGGAAAUUUACUGUAUUAGAUAAUAUAUAUAAAGUGCCCUAACACAGUGCCUGGCCAACUGGCGCUCACCACAUGAGAAAUAUAUUUUUUAAUGAACCGAAGAACUUCCAAAGCAGCUACUUAGGCUUUCUGAAAGCAGUCAAUCAAGAUAAUUUUAAAGCUACCUUCAUUUUUUUCUCUUCGCUUAUCUUGACUGCCUCAGAAGAAUGAUCACAAUAAGAGGUUACUUUGUAAAUUAAUAUAUUGAAAUACUCCAUGAGAGUGCGGUGGUUUUCUCUCCAUAAUACAACGCUUUUAACCUUGAACUUCUGCACUCAAUCCAUUCAGCAUUCGUCAGUCACAGACAUCCUGCCUGACAACUUCAUCUUAAUCUUAACCUUAAUCUACUACUUAAUCUUUCAUUUCCCCAGGUGACAAAACUGAAGUUCAAAAUGAUCACGGAUUGCCACUGUUAAAUAUUCAUGCCAAUGGAGAAUUUCGUGCAUCAUUAAAACAUAUAUAUAUUGAUAGAAAACAGCAGAAACAUCUAAUUUCCUGAUAGGAUCAUUUCUAUAGUAUCUUUAGUAUCUUUUCCCUACAUCAUCAACUUAUCUGUAUUGAAAUAUAUAUACUUAUUUAUAUUAAAAUAUAUAUGCACUUAUUUAUAUUGACAUAAAUACUUAUGUUGAAAUUAUGUGUUUUUCAAUAAUAAGCUAUGAUUACAUUACUAAACUCCUCCAAACAUUCACAUAUAGCAGGAAAUCAUACAGAGCAUUUUGUAUAAUAUUAGAUCCUAAGUAGUUAUUUAAUAAGCAACUAAUUUGACAUACAUGGAGAAUUAUUCAAAUCCAUUUUCAAAUAUUUCAGUUAGAAUUUGCUAUGUCCACCGGGCAAGAGAGGGACUCACUAUAGGAAUUCAGAGGUCUAUGUGAUAGUAGGCAUAAAAACUUUAGAUCUGAUCCUACUAAUAAGAAGUCGAAAAUAAAUAACGGCAUAAAUGCUGAGAAAUAAAAAUGAAAUCCUAAGGCGCCCCCCCCCCCCCCCCCCCCCCCAAUGACUGAACGAAUCCCCUUUGGCCAAGGAGAACCCAAAGAAACCUUGAAAACUGAGUUCCCAGCCAUGAAGGGAUGGGAGAUCAGACACGCCUACUUAUACCCCCUCCCUCACUAACAGCCAUUAGCCUUUCUUCCUUAUGGGCUAACCAGAAACUAGCCCUUUCAACCAAACAACUGAUGCUGCUCCGUUUUAAGUUUCCACAAAAAAAAUGGACCAGCAUUCCUUGUGGGUAAGAGACCACCGAUGGCAGAGUGCUUCUUGCUCAGUCUAGGGAGAAUACGCAGUGAAGGUUUUUGUGUCCUCUGCUACCCUAUUUGACAUCAGAGGGCUCCAGACUUCAGCCUUGGAUCAUGCUAACAUCGCCAUUUUUUGAACACAGGUCCCACGGAGAGGCAUAAAGCUCAGUUGUGCAUGUACAUCUUCUACUUUCAUAAAUAUUCAUGGCUCCUUUUAUAGCAUAUUACACAUGUAUUUGGCCACCUCUUUCAGCAUAAAUUCCUGUUCCCUUCGUCCCUUCCUUGAAGUGUCUGUUUCUGGCUUCUGGUUGGAGGCUAUGCUUCCCCGCCUGUCAGAAUGGCCAGCCUGCAGGCUGCAAACGUUUAUGAAAAAUAAAGCUCUCCUUUCCAAAUUUAAGAAUAUCAUCAUUCUUCAGUUAAAAAAGCAAAACUUGAUUUGGCCAAAACAUUGGCCAUGGAGUGCUGUAGUUAAUGGAAUUGGCCAGCCAGGGUGGGAGUAAAGCUAGAGAAUAUAGAUAAUUUAAUAUAUCUAUUCAUUAAUUGGCAUGGAUUAGCCUUCUAUCCUCUUAAUUCCUUUAAAACACACAAUUCUGCCAGGUAUCUCUUAUAAUAUCCAAUGUAUAAAAUCAAAAGCCAAGCUUCUAGGAAGCAAAAUAUCUUACCAGAAAGAAACUGAACAACUCUAAUGAUUUUUAAUGCACUGAUACAAAUAGCUUUUGAACUAAAACAACAAUAUGAUAAAAACAAAACAAAACAACAAUUUAAAAAAUACACCUUACAGAAUCAUUUUGUCAAAUUAGUUCCGAGACAUAAUUUGUUAAAGCCAGCUAUCUUAUGAGAGGUUUUUAUGAAAGGAAGGUGGAAGGAAGGAAGGAAGGAAAGAAGGGUCACAUUCCUUGUGAAGGAAUAUUCAGUAUUUAUCGCUGAUUUUUAUCCCCAGCAUGGGAACAUGCUGGCACUGCCUUAUAUUUGAAGAAGAAUCCAGAAAGAUAUGAGUAUCAUAUCAAAUAUGUUUCAAAACCCCUCAAAUUUACAUUCUUUAACAUCUGCUGACCAAAUCGGAUAAAUAAAUAUGUGUUUGUCACAUUCCCUUGCAUGUCUGCCUCUCAAAUAUUCAAGGUUGUUGGUUGGGGAUAACAAUGAGCAAUUUUCCUGUUGGGAUUUUUUACUCUUUGUCCAGGAAAAUUGUAUGUUUACCCAUAUUUCCUUAAACCUCAGUCAUCCAAACUCCAUCCAGUUCCCAUCUCUGUCAACAGAAUGAUAUAACUAAAAACAUAUUUUGACAUAAUAUUUGAAUUUAGUAUGAUUUGGUAACCAUUUUUCUUUCGUUGUUUCUUUUUUUCUUUUCUUUUCUUUUUUUCUCCCCGCCCCUCUCCUCUGUUUUGGAUUGUUGAUUCACUGACUAGGUUUCAGAAAGUUGAUCCAGCACUUACUAUAAAGCUCCUCAUUGACCUAAAGUGAACUGGCCUUAGCAGGUCAACUCAAAUGUUGAAACUCAAGGUCUGAUCCCAUAAGGGCAAGUUGUCAGCCCUAAUCCACACAGGAUGGUGACUGCUGUCUCAUACAUCCUGCUUAUGACCACAGAGAGGAAUGAGGUGAGAAUGGGAGUAUGAGUCAGGGCAAUUGGAGCUCCAUUCUGGAAAUACUGAUUCAAAAACAUUUGCCCAUGUCAAUGGUCAGUGAUUCGAUCUUUUCCCAUGAAGGAAAUCACAUGGAAGUGAUCUGGGUUUCCCCUUGUCCAAAUUAUUUAUUCAUUUUCAGUUGUGGUAUUUAAAUAUUCCAGUAAGUCACCUCAACACACUUGGAAGGAAGCUAGGAAAGAAGCACUAAUAAUAUUUUAUCUGUCACUGUCAUUAAAUGCCACGACCAAAAUCAAAACACUGAUAAUUAUCCAGUUGCCAAUAUCCUGAAUCAAGGUCUCCACUAGAAGAAAAACGGGAUCUCUCACUUAUUUAACUAACUUUGAUGACAAUUUCUGGUGCCUGAAACAUACUAGAGAAAAAUUAUGUUAGGAGUAUCAGGCAAGGAGUUUUAAAUAUUUAACCCCAAAUAUCCCUCUGUACUGCAGCCCCUUUGUCAGGUAGACAGUGAAUAAUUCAGGACAGGUGCCUGCUUUAUAGGAAAUCAAAAGAUUUUGCCUGGAAUAUUCCUCUCAAGUUUACUGCUAGUGAUAUAGAAUAUAAAAUCACAAAAUUUCCCUCCAGAGGAAUUUCUUAAAAUUAAAUUUCACACCAUGAAUCAUAACUAAUAAAAGAGGUAUCAUGCUGGGAUGUCUAAUAUGGUGGCCAUUGACAGUCACAUGUGACUAUUUUAAAUUUGAAUGAAUUAAAAUUAGUACAAUAAAAAAAAUUCAGUUAUCAGUCACACUAGCCGCAUUUCAAACGUCUGAUAGCCACAUGGGGCUAGAGGCUUCUGUAUUGUACACUGCACAUAUAAAACACUUCCAUUCUCACAGAAGGUGCUAUUGGACAUUACAGCUCCAGUGCAAAGCAAUGUUCUCAAGCAGCAAAUAAUUUACAGAUAAGAUGCUUGAUACAGUCUGUUUCAAAAUGAAUUGCUAAUGGGAGAGAAACUCUUGCUUUCUCCUGGGUCCUUUGACUUUUCAGAUUGAGGAGAAGAGUUUUCUCAGAGCUGAAUGUGUCACUGUCAGAAGCCAGACACCGUUGGGACCAUGCCAGAAAGAAAUCAUCGUCCAUUUCUAGAGAUGACCAUGGCAGUCUAUGAAUCUUCAUGUGUGAGCAAUGAUGAUCAUACUCAAAGAACAAACCAAAUUUUUAAAAAGUUAAUGAUUAAGUAAACACUAAUGAAUAAUGUGUGCUUUAGAUAAAAAUAAUAUCACAUUUUUGAACCAAGCACGCAUAAAGGAGCCAGUCAUAGGGCAAAGGAGUGUUUAUUAGUAUCUGAUAACCCUUGGAAGUACAAUCACAAAGUUUUCAUUUCUGCCAACAAAUUGUGUCAAAAUCUAGUCUCAUUAAUGGCAAGUGUUUAAACUAAGCUAAUGUAUGCAGUUAAACCUGGCUUACUACAUCUGUCUCUCAGGGAAAUUUUACCCAUGAUAUCUAGGCUUUGGUCAUCUCACUCUUUAAAAAGAAAAAAUAAUGCUAAAAUCUUGUUACAUGGUCUUGUUUACUCAUGAUCUGUACCUCUUAACUGAGACUUGCCUGCACGAACUUCUCUGUGCCAGUGGGGCUGGGCAAAAGGGAGAGACUGUUUAGAAAAGGAAAGAAUGGUCAACAUUGUCUCAGGCUGCAGAAGGAUCAAGUAAGAUGGUAAUGUCUGAUAGAUUUAAUGUCAUGGAGAUUUUUGGUGACCUUUACGAGCCAUUUAAGUGCAGUCAUUUAUGUGGGUCGCAUUACAGAGAAGCCACUUUUGAGGAGGGUGAGGAAUGAGUGAGGGUAUCAUAAUGGAGACCAAUGGAGACAAUUAUUUUCUCCACUUUGACUGGGAAGGAAAAGUAGAGUGGGACACUAUACAUAUGGGUAAAUAAGCCUGAUAGGCAUAGAAAGGAACUGAUUCAAUCCAGAAUAUCUAAUAAAACUCACUUUUGGAAUGUCACAUUUCAACUAGCAAUUUAGACCCCAAAAUGUGAAUCAUAAAAUGUAAAUUAUAACCCCUGAAAGCAUAGUAAGCAAUGUAAUUUGUGUUAUCUAAGUUACAUUGCACCCAACUUGCUCUUGAAACCUACAUCAAAGUAUUACUAAGAAAACCAAUCAUCUAUUCCUGGUGCAGGAUGCAGCUCAAACACGAGUUACUCUAUUCAGUAUUUCCUGGACAUCUCUGUAGAAAGAUCACUCCCUGGUGCCCUGCUCUGGCCUGCACAGGCUUCCUUCUAGCCAACAUUACUAGACUUACUUGACUUUGUAUCUGUCUCCCUAUAUGAGGAAGCUGUUUGUUAAGAAGAAUAUCUGUUCCAUUCAUUCUUGACUUCUAUAUAUUAGGAGGUUCCUGGUAUCUAUUAAGUGACUUGUGUAUUGUUUUAGAAAUGGAUGGAUGGAUGGAUGGAUGGAUGGAUGGAUGGAUGCAUGGAUGGAUGGAUGGAAAAAUGAGUGAGCAAACAAAUGAAUACAUGAAGCUGAAUCAUCACAGCCUGCUGAGAUAUUGUACCCAUUUUUUUAUUGUGUCCAAAUUAACAAUGGUGUACAUUUACAAACCAGCAGCUUCUUUGAAGAACUAGAAAAGAAAAGCGGAUUAAACUAUCAGAGUUUAUUGGAGUGUACUGCUAAAAGGUGAGAAACAUUUUAUCAAAGAUUUUUAGUGCAAUUAAGCUCCCAUUAUUGUUUUCUUCAGAAAAAUAAAUGGCCCAAACACACUAAGUCCUAGGCUUUUUAUUUUAUUAACAUCUUUUCCUCUAUCUUUCUUAAACAUGGAUUUCAUUUUUAGGUGUAAAUUUAUGCUAUCUCAUAAACAACUCCCCUUGAUUCCCGUGGCAUAAAAGCAAUAUUAUUUCUGCUUCCAUACACUGGGUACUGUACUGGGUCCUCUGUAGGAUAGCUCCUUUGAUCUUUUAAUAGUCUAGUGAAUAAAGAAAUGGAGCAGUAGUAAGGUUAAAACAAUUGCUCAAGUUCAUGCAGUUAGUAAGUGGUAGAGCCAGGAUUUGUCCAAAAACAUUCUGCUUCCAGAGUGUAAGUUCUUAUAUCUACAUUUUGUUCAGAGAUUGCCCUUUUUUGAUGAAAGGUGGUAGAGAAAAAAUGUAUAAACAAAAAGCUAGUUUCAAUUAAACUUUGCCAGAGCAAGUCAAAUCAGUAUAUACUAAGAGGCGAUCAUUUGUAAGGCAAAGGAUUAUUCAAAAAGCAAUUUCAUAAGCAUCUUGCCUCCACAAGUUUAUCAUGUUUAUAAUCCAGUAUAUUGUAGAUUAUCCAUAUGUUGAGUCUACCAGAUAACCAUGUGUUUUUCCAUAGGUAUUAGAUUUGUAUUCUUUUUGUAUCAACUCAUUAUUUAUUCAAUUGUCCCUUUUAUUUUGCCUGCAUAGUUUAGAAGAACAAAAUAGAAACUAAGUUUGCAUUCAACGUAACUAAUUCUACUUAAUGAUGAUAGCUCUAAGAACAUUCACUUGAUUGUGAAUGUUUUCACUCAACGUUCCGUUGUGAUUUUUUCCACAUUUUAAUCUAAUGUUAUUUCAUAAAGACCAUGGCACAAAAUUCCUAGGAAACCUAACUGUUGUUGGCAUGUCACUGUCACCAGCAUCAAAUUAAAUAAAAUUUAUUAAGAACAGUGAAUACCACACUGUCACUGUUUUAAGGGCCUAUAUUUAGCACAUCUCUAGCAUUUGCAGUACCCAUUAGCUUCCAAGGUUUAGGAACUGUGAGUUCUUGGAUUCCAUUGCUUUGGUGAACAUUCUUACAAACUCUAUAAUACCAAAAAGAUACUCUGAUUUCAAUUUCCUUAAGAACAUUCCCUGCGGAGCUGACUUGAGCUCUGUUUAGUCUCGGCCUCAAUGUGAUUGUUUCUUCUGGCAGGUUGUGCUUAAAACAAACCUUACUUUAUAUUUUCUUUUAAUUCUGAAACAUUUAGUCUUUGGAGAAGAUGUAAAAUCAGUUCCUAAUGGAAUUGUAGUAAUUGUGGAAUCCCAAAAAGGAUUUACUUUAAAUGGAAGAGAAAUAAAAUGCCUAUUAAAUGAUUGUAAGCAAGAAGAUCCACACAACCAUAUUUUAUUUUUAUAAGGAGUCCUGUCCCUUUGAGCCUAUAUUAUGGUCUAGGUUCUUUGCUGGAUAACUUUACAUACAUUAUUUGUAUAAACAAUGAAGAUAUCCUUAUUUUCAUUUUACAGGUGAAGAAAAGGAGGUUUAGCAAGAUCAUCUUACUCAAGAUAAACCACUCGCUAAAUGGUAGAGCUAGGUAGAAUUAGAAACCAGAUAGGGAUGAUUUCAAAGCCCAUAUGUAUUUUUUUUUUUAUUGUAUUAUACCUCUCUCCUUUUCAAAUAUCUACCAAGUCCUGAUUUCCACCAAAUUGAAAGAACAACUGAUAGGAGCAGAAAUGUCCUCCAAGGAAAGGACCUGCAUUUUCACAUUCAAAUGGCCAGAAGGCAGCAGAUAUAGGAUUUACAAAUCCAGAAAAAAAGAGAAACUGCUUAUAGCCCCAGGUAGAAGAAAGUCCUCAUAUCAGGGUUAAGGAGCUAUCACCAAUGCAACACAUAAGGAAAGGGACAUCUAUAUUAUGAUAAAAGGAAAGACAUCGUAAAAUAGUGCAGUUAAACACAAGGAUUAAAGCUAAACUAACAUGAAAGGGACGCAAAUAAUCAGUGGGACUUGUCAUUGCUGGGGGCCAUGUCAGUGGAGAUAAUGAGCAUUAAAGGCUAAAUCUGAGGCAGCUUUUGGGAGGGUCCCUGGGCCCUGAGAAUCCCAGCACUGACCAGAAGUCCAAGAUCAGAGGCCAAGGUUAAUGAGAAAACACAGGUUUUUCUGGUUGACAUCAUCAUGUUCUCACCCUCUUGUGAAUUGCAGCCUAAAUAUACAAAUCUGGAGCUUGGCAUGAGGCACAUAUACAUCUUGACUUGUACAACUAAUUCCCAUCCAUUUUGCUCAACUCAGGCUGAGCCAGAAUUAACUAACUAAUGCAGAAUGCCACAGAAAUUGCAUCUGAUUUUUCUUUGGCUGCAGAUUCACUAGAAGCUCAUGUUCUUACUAUUCCUUAGAAUUUGGGAGUCUAGAAAAGCACAGGCCUAAAUAAAUUUCUAAGAGAGAAAUUUAAUUUAACAAUUAGAGUAAAAUAUUCUGGUAAUGAAAUUGUAUUCUGCUAGUGUGUGGGGGAUCAUAUAGACUGAAUUAUUUAAAGCAGUCCUAAUUUCAAAUAAUAAUAACCAGUAAAAUAAUAAUAAUAACCACUCUAAAUUUUGAGUAGUUCAUAUAUACAUAGGCUGUUAAUUUUCAUAGCAAUUCUGUUAGUCCUUAAUAAUUUAGUUUUUUAGUUGUGGAAACUGGGGAAUCUAUGAAAUUAAGUACUCUGUAGCAGCUAAUUCAACCUAUGCGUACAUAGGUUGAUUGAUUUUAAUGCUCGUUCUUUGUAAAAAUCAUAUUAUCUGUAUUGUCCCCAUAAGCCAAGUAUAAGAAUCCAUUAUACCACUCCCCUUCUAGUACUCAGGGCAUAUAUUAUUCAUCAAUUAUAUUUCCAGUUGGCCUCAGAAUCCUCCUUAACACAACAUACCAGUAUCUAAUCCAGUUAAUCACAGUUUGCUAUCCCCGACACAAACCCUCAACAUUAGGGCAUCCAAACCUCUCUGUAAGUCUUGGAAGACAGACAAUAGAAUAAUGCUGACAGUUUCCUUAUACCUCUGGCAAAGUGUCCAAUCAUCUUUUGGUUAGAAUCCAGUGAGAGGACUAAGAAAGGCAUCUGAUUUGUCUGUCAAAGCUUGCCCAGGUUAUGAAGAUAACUGGAGACCUACAUUUGUAACUCAGUAAAUGGGAGACUUUCAUUCCUGGACAUUCUGCAACAGCCAGUGUUGACCUGGUAAAUCUACCUGAGAUUCGCUCAUGAUUCCAAUGUGACUGAAUGCCUUGAGAAUAUACAACUCCCUCACAGCUAUUCUUCUUUAUUGAUAUGUCUUAGACAGUAGAAGUUCGUGAAGUGACCUAAUCACUGUAAACCCAAACGUUUUGUAGAAAACGCAACAACAAAUAACCCUAAAAGGAAACUGGAGAAGGGGCUCUGAUCACAGCCUCAGGAAUUGGAGUUAGUCCCUUCAAAUUCAUGGGCCUGUUUGACUUAAAUUGUAAAGAUUAUUUUGUGCUUUUGAACGGACAUUAAUCCCAAAGGAAGAACAAACAGAAUGAGUCAAAUUGCUUUGAGCAGGAAUGCCUGCUGAGAGGGGAGAGAAAUUCUGUAAGAAGCACGGCUUCUGAAAUUGGCCCUGCAUUUUCCUGAAUGAUUCUGAUCUGUACUGCAUAUAGUUUUCAAAAGUCAUUAUGCUUUCCAAGUGCUAAAUAUUUGCUUCCCAAGUUAUCAGUGUCAUUAUGACCUUUGCUUGCCUAUUUAUACAGUUUAAUGUCCUCCUUAUAAGCGAAGAUAAGAAAACUACUUUUUAAAAAUUUUGUAAAUUUAUGUUGUUCUUCAGCUGCUCUCUGCCCUUCAAGGUUCAGCUGAAAGGCCCUGCCACCCACCCCCCAACCCCAUCCACUUAGCAUGAUAGUCAAUUUUCCCUUUUGCAAACUUCUACAGAAUAUUCUAAGUGCUUAAGAGGGCAGGCUUUGUCAUCAGAAACCUGCAUCCAAAUUCCAGUGUUUUCAUGUCCAAAGGAAAUUAACAGCUAUUUCGGUUCUCCUUCUAUAAAAUAAGAAUAACAGCUAAAUUCCAGGAUUUCUGUAAGGCUUACAGGGAGAAAUAAUAGAGUAAAUACUAAACUAUAG